rnacentral:misc_RNA from 1 species
UCGUACAAAAUGUGAGGGGCAUGCAAGGGCUGUCGCUGACUUCAAAGUCGUGCACGCCCGGGUGUGUCCCCUCACACAAUAAUCCACCUCACCCUUUGUGCAUCACCGCGUGGGCACCCUUCGGGAUCAUCUCGGAGGGGGCUCGCGUUUUCACACAAACCCCCCCUUUUUAAAAGUGUAGAAUGACCUCAUAUAUGCGCUAACCCGCAAUCAAUAC